CUCAAAGGAAUUGACGGGGACCCGCACAAGCGGUGGAUGAUGUGGUUUAAUUCGAUGCAACGCGAAAAACCUUACCCACCUUUGACAUGUACGGAAUUCGCCAGAGAUGGCUUAGUGCUCGAAAGAGAACCGUAACACAGGUGCUGCAUGGCUGUCGUCAGCUCGUGUCGUGAGAUGUUGGGUUAAGUCCCGCAACGAGCGCAACCCUUGUCAUUAGUUGCUACAUUUAGUUGGGCACUCUAAUGAGACUGCCGGUGACAAACCGGAGGAAGGUGGGGAUGACGUCAAGUCCUCAUGGCCCUUAUAGGUGGGGCUACACACGUCAUACAAUGGCUGGUACAAAGGGUUGCCAACCCGCGAGGGGGAGCUAAUCCCAUAAAACCAGUCGUAGUCCGGAUCGCAGUCUGCAACUCGACUGCGUGAAGUCGGAAUCGCUAGUAAUCGUGGAUCAGAAUGUCACGGUGAAUACGUUCCCGGGUCUUGUACACACCGCCCGUCACACCAUGGGAGCGGGUUCUGCCAGAAGUAGUUAGCCUAACCGCAAGGAGGGCGAUUACCACGGCAGGGUUCGUGACUGGGGUGAAGU
rnacentral:rRNA from 1 species